GACGAACGCUGGCGGCGUGCUUAACACAUGCAAGUCGAACGAUGAAGCCUAGCUUGCUAGGUGGAUUAGUGGCGAACGGGUGAGUAAUACGUGAGUAACCUACCUUUAACUCUGGGAUAAGCCUGGGAAACUGGGUCUAAUACCGGAUACGACCAAUCUCCGCAUGGGGUGUUGGUGGAAAGCGUUAUGUAGUGGUUAUAGAUGGGCUCACGGCCUAUCAGCUUGUUGGUGAGGUAACGGCUCACCAAGGCGACGACGGGUAGCCGGCCUGAGAGGGUGACCGGCCACACUGGGACUGAGACACGGCCCAGACUCCUACGGGAGGCAGCAGUGGGGAAUAUUGCACAAUGGGCGCAAGCCUGAUGCAGCGACGCCGCGUGAGGGAUGACGGCCUUCGGGUUGUAAACCUCUGUUAGCAGGGAAGAAGAGAAAUUGACGGUACCUGCAGAGAAAGCGCCGGCUAACUACGUGCCAGCAGCCGCGGUAAUACGUAGGGCGCGAGCGUUGUCCGGAAUUAUUGGGCGUAAAGAGCUUGUAGGCGGUUUGUCGCGUCUGCUGUGAAAGGCCGGAGCUUAACUCCGUGUAUUGCAGUGGGUACGGGCAGACUAGAGUGCAGUAGGGGAGACUGGAAUUCCUGGUGUAGCGGUGGAAUGCGCAGAUAUCAGGAGGAACACCGAUGGCGAAGGCAGGUCUCUGGGCUGUAACUGACGCUGAGAAGCGAAAGCAUGGGGAGCGAACAGGAUUAGAUACCCUGGUAGUCCAUGCCGUAAACGUUGGCACUAGGUGUGGGGAACAUUCCACGUUUUCCGCGCCGUAGCUAACGCAUUAAGUGCCCCGCCUGGGGAGUACGGCCGCAAGGCUAAAACUCAAAGAAAUUGACGGGGGCCCGCACAAGCGGCGGAGCAUGCGGAUUAAUUCGAUGCAACGCGAAGAACCUUACCAAGGCUUGACAUAUACUGGACCGCAUCAGAGAUGGUGUUUCCCUUCGGGGCUGGUAUACAGGUGGUGCAUGGUUGUCGUCAGCUCGUGUCGUGAGAUGUUGGGUUAAGUCCCGCAACGAGCGCAACCCUCGUUCUAUGUUGCCAGCACGUUAUGGUGGGGACUCAUAGGAGACUGCCGGGGUCAACUCGGAGGAAGGUGGGGAUGACGUCAAAUCAUCAUGCCCCUUAUGUCUUGGGCUUCACGCAUGCUACAAUGGCCGGUACAGAGGGUUGCGAUACUGUGAGGUGGAGCUAAUCCCUAAAAGCCGGUCUCAGUUCGGAUUGGGGUCUGCAACUCGACCCCAUGAAGUCGGAGUCGCUAGUAAUCGCAGAUCAGCAACGCUGCGGUGAAUACGUUCCCGGGCCU
rnacentral:rRNA from 1 species